rnacentral:rRNA from 1 species
GGAGGGUGCAAGCGUUAUCCGGAUUCACUGGGUUUAAAGGGUGUGUAGGCGGGCAGUUAAGUCAGUGGUGAAAUCUCCGGGCUCAACCCGGAAACUGCCAUUGAUACUAUCUGUCUUGAAUACUGUUGAGGUAGGCGGAAUAUAUCAUGUAGCGGUGAAAUGCAUAGAUAUGAUAUAGAACACCAAUUGCGAAGGCAGCUUACUAAGCAGUGAUUGACGCUGAGGCACGAAAGCGUGGGGAUCAAACAGGAUUAGAUACCCUGGUAGUCCACGCCCUAAACGAUGAUUACUCGACAUACGCGAUACACAGUGUGUGUCUGAGCGAAAGCAUUAAGUAAUCCACCUGGGAAGUACGACCGCAAGGUUG